rnacentral:rRNA from 1 species
CAGCCGCCGCGGGAAUACGAAGGGAGCGAGCGUUGUUCGGAAUUACUGGGCGUAAAGCGUGCGUAGGCGGUUUUGUAAGUAAGAAGUGAAAGCCUGGGGCUCAACCUCAGAAUUGCUUUUUAGACUGCAGAACUAGAAUUCUGGAGAGGUUAGUGGAAUUCCGAGUGUAGAGGUGAAAUUCGCAGAUAUUCGGAGGAACACCAGUGGCGAAGGCGACUAACUGGACAGACAUUGACGCUGAGGCACGAAAGCGUGGGGAUCAAACAGGAUUAGAUACCCGCGUAGUCCUGUCUCUUAUACC